rnacentral:pre_miRNA from 1 species
CUCCACUAUUGAGUGCUAUUAGUGUGUUAUUUGUAUCUGAUUGCACGCAAUAGUGGGGCU